AUGUUUUACAUAAAUGCAUUAUAGACAGUUUUAUAUCAACAGAAAUGUGUUUUGUCUGAAUCCUACGGAGCCGAUUUCUCUGUCGUGUACAAACUUGGAUGUGCCACUACCGACGUGUGUAGGAAUGUGUUUGGGUACGAUUCCUCCCUAGUAGUCAUAGGACGCGAUGUACCAGAGAGGAGGGCCACCUUAAACGGCAAGUGUUGCGACACGGAUCUGUGCAACACUCGUAUGCGAAAGAGGGAAUCCAUUGUCAAAAGACAGGUUGCUAUGGAUAACAGAACUUCGAUAUGUACCGACAUCGACACUGCCUCUUGUCAGAGACUGGGUAAAAUUAAACAGGGUAUGUGUAGCGACCCGUGUAUGGCCAAAGC